CUUACCAUAAUCUUAUUCCAGGGUUAGGCGUAACUGAGAGCUCUAUUUUAAGAUCUUGUUGCAAGCAUUUUUGGAACUGCAACUCCAGGUGCUACUUUUCGAUGACGAAGAAGUCAAAGAACUGUCCGAACCAUAUCGCUUGGAUCCAUUCUUGGUACCAACUUUGAG